rnacentral:lncRNA from 12 species
AGAUGUCACUUUAUUAACCUUUGAGAAAGGAUCCUUUAUGGAGAGUGUGGCCUGUUCAGUGUCUGGGUUUGUUUCCUGAAAUUCUGGAAAAGUUUUCCUAAACAUCAACAAGUCACUACUGGGUCUCCAGGACUGUCAAUGCUUCUUUAUGCAAACGACAGACAAUGUGGAGUUUUUGAAAACAUUAUCUUCACAAGGCCAGUGGAGAGCCUGUUAGAAGUGGUCCAUGGGACCGCCGCAGCAAGCAUUUAAGUCCCACUUUCGGCCUGGGGACAAGCUACCUGUACCCUUCUAGUCAAUUCCACCAAACCUCUCAAGACAGCCUUCAGGACUCGGAGCCCAUCUGCUGUGGGUUUAAGCCUAGCUUCAGCACAUAUUUGCUGAGUGACCUUUGGCCUCCAUUUCCUGGCCUGCAAGGAUGCUCGCGCCGCGGCCUGCAUCACAGCGCUGCUCUGAGGAUGACAGCAGGUAGCAGGUAUCAUCCAGGCGCUGCCGCCACGGGAAUGUCUCCCUUUGCCACUUGGUCCUGACGCGACUGGCCAGCCGGUAGAUCUGUCUCGUGCUCCGCAAGGACAGGCACAGACCUGAUCUUGAAAGUGGAGAUCGUGGCACGGCUACACCGCCACGAGGUGGGCAUCAGUUUUCUCCACCCUCCUUCAGGUGGUAGGAGGAAGCAGCGUGGCUGCUGAAAACUGGCCAUUAAUUGGCCCAACGCACAACUUAAUGGGCACAUGGGGCUUUGCAUUCGUCUCCAAAAUGAAGAUUUAAGCCUUUAUAUUGAGCUUUGAUAUCAUGGCUUCUUAGAUCUAAUAAUCAUGGACACACCAGGCACAGAGCUGGAUCUUCACACUCUUUCCCGUACCUCACUCCAUGCUCACACCAGUCCUGUGAUGUCACUAUUAUGAUUCCAGUUUACAGGUAAGGAAACCGAGUCUGGGGGCGGUAGAGUCAAAGCCACCACAAUCCUGUGCAGCCUGUGUGAAUAGCACCCCCAGGAGCUGUGAGGUGCAUAACAGGUGGCAGAUGCUGUUGCUUCCGUGCAUCCGUCCGUCCUCCCGGCCAUCCCGUGCAAAGUCUCAAGAACCAUACACUGGGGCCCUGGCCAAAUAAUUUGCCCAAGACCAACAGCUAAUAAAUGGCGGAGCCUUCCAGAAUCCCUGCUGUAG